CUUAAAAAAUAUGCUUCAAGCAAAAAUUACUAUUUGGACGUAUCUAAUCAUAUAAAACUUAUCAUAAUGAUUAUAAUUAUUUAUAAUGAUACAAUUUUUCAUCUUUAUGAUGCUAAUAUAAUUAAAAUAUUCAUAAUAUGAAUUUUUAUUAUCGUGCAUUUAAUGCACGGGCAUUUUUACUAGUACACUAUAAAUGCCUCAUAUUUCAUAAUAUAUUUAAAUAAGAUAUUAAUAGAGGCAUAGAGCAAUAAUACAAUUUAAAACUUGUUUUCAAUAAUAUAGAUGUUGUGGGCUAGAAAAUUCGAUGAGGUGGAGUGAGAGAGUUUUAUAUUCUGGUUUUACACGAAGGUCCAACACACAAAUAGAUAAAUGAAAGGGCACGAAUAACAUCAUAAUUUUCACACACUAUUAAAAAGUAUGAGUUUUCGCAACAUUUGUUAGAGGCGGUUUGAGAACCGCCACCAAAAUGAGUGUUUAGCAACGGUUUUGACCAGUGCAAAUAUUGACGGUAUAGCCUAAAACAAAAUCCUAUGCCGUAUACUCGUGGACGAUCUCUCUUCUUGAUCCCGCUUCUCUCUUGCUAGCUUUCGAUCUCCAAUCCCCUUCUCCCUGGAAUCGCUCGCGCGUGGCUCUUCGCGUUUGUGCAUGGAUUGUGGCCGACGAGUUGACUAUGUCAAAGCCUAAGCUUCGUCCGCUCGAUCGUGUCUAGCUCUUCAAUUUGUUCUCUAACAUAGGGUUUCAUUUUCAUUUGAAAUGCAUGCACAAAUUGUUGUUUCAUUUUCAUUCGAACUUAUGUUGUUUUGAUUUUGAACUGUAAUAGUUCUUGUAAUGUUUGAACUUUUUAUGCGUGCACUUGUCUAUUUAUAAUUUAUUAUGCAUGAUUUUGCUAUUAUCUGACUUCUAUGCCAAUUAUUGGCAUCUCAUAUUCUAUUUUCAUUGUGAAGGAAAAAUCAUCUUAUAAAAGGAACUUUUGGAGAAAGAGAUCGAGAGAGAAAGAGAUAGAGUAAAACGUACAUUUAAGGGAAGAAGUUAGUUGAAUGUAUGAAGAAUGCAUAACGUAAUACAUUUCAACUCAGAAGCAAGCUUAUUUUAAAACUCAUAAGGAUGAAGAGUAGUACAUCUGAUCUCUUUUUUAUGAUGCAAUUACAUAACAAUGAUAAUGGAUGUUUGUUGCUGUUGUUUCUUUGUUGAUGGUAAUAUUAGCACUGCCUUAAAAGUUUUACUUGUUUGUGAAAAGAUUAUGACGUUUAAGCUAGUUGAAUGUACGUUUAAGAGAAGAACAAUGAAACCUCCUCCUUUAUUGCUUUUAGAAAGAAAAAUACUUCAACUACAUUCAUGCAUGAUGCAUGUAUAACACUUUCUAGUUUCAUCAAUAUAUAUAUUCAUUUUGAGAGUGAUUUCAAAA